rnacentral:rRNA from 1 species
GACGUAGGGCGCGAGCGUUGUCCGGAUUUAUUGGGCGUAAAGCGCGUGUAGGCGGCCAGAUAGGUCUGCUGUGAAAACUCGAGGCUCAACCUCGAGCUGUCGGCGGAAACCAUCUGGCUAGAGUCCGGAAGAGGAGAGUGGAAUUCCUGGUGUAGCGGUGAAAUGCGCAGAUAUCAGGAAGAACACCUAUGGCGAAGGCAGCUCUCUGGGACGGUACUGACGCUGAGACGCGAAAGCGUGGGGAGCGAACAGG